AAAAGUUCGUUCAGAUUUUUCU
rnacentral:miRNA from 1 species